CCUACGGGUGGCUGCAGUCGAGAAUCAUUCACAAUGGGGGAAACCCUGAUGGUGCGACGCCGCGUGGGGGAAUGAAGGUCUUCGGAUUGUAAACCCCUGUCAUGUGGGAGCAAAUUAAAAAGAUAGUACCACAAGAGGAAGAGACGGCUAACUCUGUGCCAGCAGCCGCGGUAAUACAGAGGUCUCAAGCGUUGUUCGGAAUCACUGGGCGUAAAGCGUGCGUAGGCUGUUUCGUAAGGCGUGUGUGAAAGGCGCGGGCUCAACCCGCGGACGGCACAUGAUACUGCGGGACUAGAGUGAUGGAGGGGGAACCGGAAGUCUCGGUGUAGCAGUGAAAUGCGUAGAUAUCGAGAGGAACACUCGUGGCGAAGGCGGGUUCCUGGACAUUAACUGACGCUGAGGCACGAAGGCCAGGGGAGCGAAAGGGAUUAGAUACCCGUGUAGUC
rnacentral:rRNA from 1 species